rnacentral:rRNA from 1 species
UACGGAGGGUGCGAGCGUUGUCCGGAAUCAUUGGGCGUAAAGGGCGCGUAGGUGGCGGGACAAGCGUGCGGUGAAAGCUCGGGGCUCAACCCCGAGUCGGCCGUGCGAACUGUUUUGCUUGAGCACUGUAGGGGCAGGCGGAAUUCCGGGUGUAGCGGUGGAAUGCGUAGAGAUCCGGAAGAACACCGGUGGCGAAGGCGGCCUGCUGGGCAGUAGCUGACACUGAGGCGCGACAGCGUGGGGAGCGAACAGG